rnacentral:rRNA from 1 species
UUUAAYUGGRGGGAGGUGGGGAUGACGUCAAGUCAUCAUGGCCCUUACGACCAGGGCUACMCACGUGCUACAAUGGCGCAUACAAAGAGAAGSGACCUCGCGAGAGCAAGCGGACCUCAUAAARUGCGUYGUAGUCCGGAUUGGAGUYUGCAACUCGACUCCAUGAAGUYGGAAUCGCUAGUAAUYGUGGAUCAGAAUGCCMCGGUGAAUACGUUCCCGGGCCUUGUACACMCCGCCCGUCACACCAUGGGAGUGGGUUGCAAAAGAAGUAGGUAGCUUAACCUUCGGGAGGGCGCUUACCACUUUGUGAUUCAUGACUGGGGKCAAGUCGUAAAYC